AUUGAACGCUGGCGGCAGGCCUAACACAUGCAAGUCGAACGAGUGGCGGAAGGGUGAGUAAUGUCUGGGAAACUGCCCGAUGGAGGGGGAUAACUACUGGAAACGGUAGCUAAUACCGCAUACCAUCGGAUGUGCACAGAUGGGCUUAGCUAGUAGGUGGGGUAACGGCUCACCUAGGCGACGAUCCCUAGCUGGUAUGAUGGGAGGACCAGCAACACUGGAACUGAGACACGUUCCAGACUCCUACGGGAGGCAGCAGUGGGUAAGAUUGCACCAUGGGCGCAAGCCUGAUGCAGCCAUGCCGCGGGUAUGAAGAAGGCCUUAGGGUUGUAAAGUACUUUCAGCGAGGAGGCUUUACUCGCAGAAGAAGCACCGGCUAACUCCGUGCCAGCAGCCGCGGUAAUUC
rnacentral:rRNA from 1 species